rnacentral:rRNA from 1 species
GACGAACGCUGGCGGCGUGCUUAACACAUGCAAGUCGAACGAUGAAGCCGGAGCUUGCUCUGGUGAAUUAGUGGCGAACGGGUGAGUAACACGUGAGUAACCUGCCCUUGACUCUGGGAUAACUGCGGGAAACUGUAGCUAAUACCGGAUACGACCCUCGGAGGCAUCUCCUGGGGGUGGAAAGAAUUUCGGUCAAGGAUGGACUCGCGGCCUAUCAGCUAGUUGGUGAGGUAAAGGCUCACCGAGGCGACGACGGGUAGCCGGCCUGAGAGGGUGACCGGGCAAACUGGGACUGAGACACGGCCCAGACUCCUACGGGAGGCAGCAGUGGGGAAUGUUGCACAAUGGGCGCAAGCCUGAUGCAGCAACGCCGCGUGAGGGAUGACGGCCUUCGGGUUGUAAACCUCUUUUAGCAGGGAAGAAGCGAAAGUGACGGUACCUGCAGAAAAAGCACCGGCUAACUACGUGCCAGCAGCCGCCGUAA